AUACCUUUCUCGGCCUUUUGGCUAAGAUCAAGUGUAGUAUCUGUUCUUAUCAGUUUAAUAUCUGAUAUGUGACUCACUGAGUCACACGAUAUUAAAUUAAUUUUUUUAGGGGGAGAAGCAAUUUCAAUAGCUUGCUAUUGGGCUUCUCAAGUGUUGCAUUUGCGUUGCACUAUUGCAUUGGCUGGCACACCCCAC
rnacentral:snRNA from 1 species